GCUGUGAUGGCCGAGGGGGGGAAGGCGUUGGACUCGAAAUCCAGCAGCGGUUUCUUGCGCAGGUUCGAAUCCUGCUCUCAGCC